GAUGAACGCUGGCGGCGUGCCUAAUACAUGCAAGUCGAGCGAACAGACGAGGAGCUUGCUCCUCUGACGUUAGCGGCGGACGGGUGAGUAACACGUGGAUAACCUACCUAUAAGACUGGGAUAACUUCGGGAAACCGGAGCUAAUACCGGAUAAUAUAUUGAACCGCAUGGUUCAAUAGUGAAAGACGGUUUUGCUGUCACUUUUAGAUGGAUCCGCGCCGCCUUAGCUAGUUGGUAAGGUAACGGCUUACCAAGGCGACGAUGCGUAGCCGACCUGAGAGGGUGAUCGGCCACACUGGAACUGAGACACGGUCCAGACUCCUACGGGAGGCAGCAGUAGGGAAUCUUCCGCAAUGGGCGAAAGCCUGACGGAGCAACGCCGCGUGAGUGAUGAAGGUCUUCGGAUCGUAAAACUCUGUUAUUAGGGAAGAACAAAUGUGUAAGUAACUAUGCACGUCUUGACGGUACCUAAUCAGAAAGCCACGGCUAACUACGUG
rnacentral:rRNA from 1 species